UAUGUGAUCGUCUCUCGCAUAUCAAUAAGCGGAGGAAAAGAAACUAACAAGGAUUCCCCUAGUAACGGCGAGUGAAGCGGGAAGAGCUCAAAUUUGAAAUCUUAAAGGGUUUCCCUUUACGAAUUGUAGUUUAAAGAAGUGUUUUCUGUUGAGGUUUUGGUAAAAGUUCUUUGGAAUAGGACAUCAUAGAGGGUGAGAAUCCCGUAUUUGACCUUUACUUUCAACUUUGUGAUACACUUUCAAAGAGUCGGAUUGUUUGGGAAUGCAGUCCAAAAUGGGUGGUAAAUUUCAUCUAAAGCUAAAUAUUGGCGAGAGACCGAUAUGCGAACAAGUACCGUGAGGGAAAGAUGAAAAGAACUUUGAAAAGAGAGUUAAACAGUACGUGAAAUUGUCAAAAGGGAAGCGUUUGACACCAGUGUUGUUUUUCUGAAAAUCAAUUAAAGAACUGUUUAUGCUAAGCUGUUUAGACUUUAUCAGCUAAUCUGUUUAGUUUUGAGCUUUUCUUUAAUGCACUUUUCAGUUAACAAGUCAACAUCAAUUUCUUUUGCUGUAAAAAAGCUUGAGGAAGGUGGCUUGAGAUUCGUCUUAAGUGUUUAUAGCCUCUUGCCUAUGCAGUCGGAGAGAUUGAGGUCUGCAGCGUAGAUCCUUCGGGGCUAAAUGCAUUUGUGCUAAGUUAUAGCAUUUUAUAGACAACUUGUUGACUAUGAUUUGUCUUGUAGCUUACUCGCUUAUGUUAUUUUACCUACGCUUAGGAUGUUGACUGAUAUGUAGUCGUA
rnacentral:rRNA from 1 species